rnacentral:tRNA from 1 species
UCCCUGAAGGUUCCGUGGUAAGACUCUGUACUCCCAAUGCAGGGGACCUGGGUUCAAUCCCUGGUCAGGGAA